rnacentral:rRNA from 1 species
GUCGCGUCUGCCGUGAAAGUCCGGGGCUCAACUCCGGAUCUGCGGUGGGUACGGGCAGACUAGAGUGAUGUAGGGGAGACUGGAAUUCCUGGUGUAGCGGUGAAAUGCGCAGAUAUCAGGAGGAACACCGAUGGCGAAGGCAGGUCUCUGGGCAUUAACUGACGCUGAGGAGCGAAAGCAUGGGGAGCGAACAGGAUUAGAUACCCUGGUAGUCCAUGCCGUAAACGUUGGGCACUAGGUGUGGGGGACAUUCCACGUUUUCCGCGCCGUAGCUAACGCAUUAAGUGCCCCGCCUGGGGAGUACGGCCGCAAGGCUAAAACUCAAAGGAAUUGACGGGGGCCCGCACAAGCGGCGGAGCAUGCGGAUUAAUUCGAUGCAACGCGAAGAACCUUACCAAGGCUUGACAUGAACCAGACCGGACUGGAAACAGUUCUUCCACUUGUGGCUGGUUUACAGGUGGUGCAUGGUUGUCGUCAGCUCGUGUCGUGAGAUGUUGGGUUAAGUCCCGCAACGAGCGCAACCCUCGUUCUAUGUUGCCAGCGGUUCGGCCGGGGACUCAUAGGAGACUGCCGGGGUCAACUCGGAGGAAGGUGGGGACGACGUCAAAUCAUCAUGCCCCUUAUGUCUUGGGCUUCACGCAUGCUACAAUGG